CAACAAUUCUCAUCCUUUGGGGAACUCACCUUUUGCUUUAUUCUAUGAUACACCUUUCCUUUCACCUUCUGAAGACAUUUUAUGGCAGGAAUUUAUUGUUUCAAUUUCAAUUAAUUUUGUUUUGACAAUCUCUUGACACUAUUUUAUGGUUGAAGACACCCUGGGGUGUGGCAAAACCAAGAUUGUGAAUUACUGAUCCCUUUGUUCAAAGAAAACAGUUUCCCUUUUAUGAGAAGGCCAAGAUAAAAAGGACUAGAAGGCAGUAAAUUGAGACUGCAAAUUCUCUAACAGGACUCCAAAUUUGUUAUUAACUCUGCCUUCCUUAAUGGAAAAUAUAGAAGAGAAAAUUGCAACUGAUGAAGAAUGGUUUAAACUCCUGAAAAAACUUGAAAGGAUUCUGGAUUUUUUUUAUUUUUAAGAGAAAUUUUAUUUCUUUUUUCAUGACAAAAAUAAAAGAGAGGAAAAGGAAUGUCUCUAAAAUUUGUGAAGCAUUAUGACAAGGAGAUGCUUAUAUCAUUAAUCUCAAGGCUCUAUGGUGUAGUAACAUUAUUUUCAAACUGCUGCUUGGAACCAUUUACACAAGAAGAAUAUGUUAGGGGAUUUAAGGGAGGGGUCACUAUCCUGGAGGCUUGGACGAGAGAAGAUAUACAUACAGAGACACACAGAAACAAAAGGAACACAAAACUGGUUGAACGCUGAGAUCUCUUCCCACCCAUAAAAAGCCCAGAGAACAAAAAGUUGGCCCAGGAAAUGCAAUUGGGAAGCUGAAGAAGAUUAUAGUAUUUCUGGCAGUCAAGAUUUGGAAAGUUACCUACUAAGAAGCUACAAUAUGCUCAAGAUACUACUAUAUCAGAAUAAUUUUUACCUAAUUAAGAGAAUGAAAAUUUUAUUUACUCAACCAAAUAGUGAGUUAAUAUAUAGGAAAUAUAUGUUCUGUAUCAAACAGAAUAGAAAACAAUGGCAUUGAGAUGUAUACCAGUGCUCUCAUAAUGACUGACCUGUCAUGUGUAAUUGUGUGUUAUUUUCUAUAUACACUCCAUCUGAAUGAGCAAUAAAACUAGCUUGAGGAAGAAUAGUUUCUUCUCUGAUCAUUGUAUUUCUUCAGGAUUUCUC
rnacentral:lncRNA from 1 species